rnacentral:rRNA from 1 species
GAUGAACGCUGGCGGCGUGCCUAAUACAUGCAAGUCGAGCGAACGGACGAGAAGCUUGCUUCUCUGAUGUUAGCGGCGGACGGGUGAGUAACACGUGGAUAACCUACCUAUAGGACUGGGAUAACUUCGGGAAACCGGAGCUAAUACCGGAUAAUAUUUUGAACCGCAUGGUUCAAAAGUGAAAGACGGUCUUGCUGUCACUUAUAGAUGGAUCCGCGCUGCAUUAGCUAGUUGGUAAGGUAACGGCUUACCAAGGCAACGAUGCAUAGCCGACCUGAGAGGGUGAUCGGCCACACUGGAACUGAGACACGGUCCAGACUCCUACGGGAGGCAGCAGUAGGGAAUCUUCCGCAAUGGGCGAAAGCCUGACGGAGCAACGCCGCGUGAGCGAUGAAGGUCUUCGGAUCGUAAAACUCUGUUAUUAGGGAAGAACAUAUGUGUAAGUAACUGUGCACAUCUUGACGGUACCUAAUCAGAAAGCCACGGCUAACUACGUG